AAUAGCCGAAAAUGACCCCAGGGUUAAGAGUAGGAGAGGUAAUCUGUCUGAGCUGGUGCGUUAAGGGAUCAUAAAUUCCUCCCCAGAACAUCGCCUUGAAAACCAGAGCCAAAGCCGCAACCCCCAAUAAGGUCAAGUGAAUACCCAAUAUAGUCGUCAUUUUAUUGGAAUCGUCCCA
rnacentral:antisense_RNA from 1 species